rnacentral:rRNA from 1 species
AUGCUGCGCCGCGCUCGCCCGCCCGGCGAUGCGCUUGCCGGCCCCACGCCGCGUUCGCCGGCCCAGCACCAUACUCGCCCAUCCCGCAGCACACUCGCCGGCCCCGCGCCAUGCUGGCCGCCCUGCGACGAGCUCGCCGGCCCCGCACCGUUCUGGCCACCCUGCGACGAGCUCGCCGGCCCCGCGCCGUUCUGGCCGCCCUGCGACGAGCUCGCCGGCUCGCCGGCCGUCUCUCACAUCUCCAGCGGCACGCGCUGCCUCAUCACCUGCGCCUGUUUCCUCUGCGUCGUCUACAUGGGAGAGUACGUACCCCUCUAA